rnacentral:rRNA from 1 species
ACUCAAAUGAAUUGACGGGGACCCGCACAAGCGGUGGAGCAUGUGGUUUAAUUCGUCACUAACCGAAGAACCUUACCGAGGUUUGACAUCCCUGGAAAGCCCUGGAAACAGGGCCGUGCCCGCAAGGGAGCCAGGUGACAGAUGCUGCACGGCUGUCGUCAGCUCGUGCUGUGAAGUGUACGGUUAAGUCCGUAAACGAGCGCAACCCUUAUUGUAUGUUGAAUUUUUCAUACGAGACCGCCAGGUCAACCUGGAGGAAGGUGGGGAUGACGUCAAGUCAGCGUGGCUCUUACACCUCGGGCUACACACGUGCUACAAUGGACAGUAACAAAGGGUUGCUAAAGCGCAAGCUGGAGCUAAUCCCAUCAAACCUGUCCUCAGUUCGGAUCGAAGGCUGCAACUCGCCUUCGUGAAGUCGGAAUCGCUAGUAACGGUAGGUCAGCUAUACUGCCGUGAAUACGUUCUCGGGUCUUGUACACACCGCCCGU